UACGUAGGCAGCAAGCGUUGUUCGGAGUUACUGGGCGUAAAGGGUGCGUAGGCGGCGCGGUAAGUCGGGUGUGAAAUCUUGGAGCUUAACUCCGAAACUGCAUUCGAUACUGCCGUGCUUGAGGACUGGAGAGGAGACUGGAAUUCCUGGUGUAGCGGUGAAAUGCGCAGAUAUCAGGAGGAACACCGGUGGCGAAGGCGGGGUCUCUGGGCCGUAACUGACGCUGAGGAGCGAAGCCAGGGGGAGCAAACGGG
rnacentral:rRNA from 1 species